GCCAGACUCCUACGGGAGGCAGCAGUGGGGGAUAUUGCACAAUGGGGGAAACCCUGAUGCAGCGACGCCGCGUGGGUGAAGAAGCGCCUCGGCGCGUAAAGCCCUGUCAGCAGGGAAGAAAAUGACGGUACCUGAAGAAGAAGCCCCGGCUAACUACGUGCCAGCAGCCGCGGUAAUACGUAGGGGGCAAGCGUUAUCCGGAUUUACUGGGUGUAAAGGGGGCGCAGACGGCGAUGCAAGCCAGGAGUGAAAACCCGGGGCUUAACCCCGCGGAUUGCUUUUGGAACUGUCUGGCUGGAGUGCAGGAGGGGCAGGCGGAAUUCCUGGUGGAGCGGUGAAAUGCGUAGAUAUCAGGAGGAACACCGGUGGCGAAGGCGGCCUGCUGGACUGUAACUGACACUGAGGCUCGAAAGCGUGGGGAGCAAACAGGAUUAGAUACCCGGGUAAA
rnacentral:rRNA from 1 species